rnacentral:sRNA from 1 species
UAUUGAUCAACCCCUGCAAUGGUGGUUUGGAUGGUAACCCCUGCUUUUAGGUUGUGCCCAGAGAUGAAGAGAAGACCAAUGUUGACCGACGACACAAGUGACGAGGGAGGAAGAGAAGACUUGCGUUGUGACCAACAACUCUUGUCAGACGAUGGGUGGCGGCGACUGACUUUUAUUGACAGCUAGGUUGAAUGUGGGGAACAAUAGAAUGGGUAAAGUGUCGGUAAAGGACUAUGCUCAGCUUCGCUGCUCCAAGUCUUCAGGUUUGGCUUCUGUUGUGGGAAAAUAUUACUACACUUGGAAGAAAAAGGUGGUGGUGUUGUAUGCUAGGAAGAGAGGAAAGGGUCAUGAAGAGAUGUCUAUUAUAAGAGUCCUAUGAUGCUUGCCUGUCAAUUUGGUUAAUCACGAUCCAAUUGUUUUGUUCAGCCCCAAAACCCUUCACCUCAAUUCCCUUUCUGAAUCUAAGCACGAAUCUGUUCCCAUGGAAUUAUUAGUAUUUUUCACUAGAUUUAAUUUUUUGGAGUUGUUAAUUGCAUGUUUGUUUAUGUGUUGAGGGUUUGUUGGAGGCAAAUGGAUGGGUGCCAGUUUUCCAAGAAGAAA